GUUAGACGGAGGGUGGAAGAAUAGGUCUAGUAUAUAGGCAUCUUCAAGGCAGGUUCAAUGUGAAAAUGUUAUUGUAUAAAAUCUGUUCCUCCUAUGGUUGCCAAUAUCCAGAUGAGGCCUGAAGAUCUCCUGGAAUUACUGACUACUGAGAUUCGUUUACCUGGAGGAAAGGGCAGCUUUGGAAGAAAUGGAAGAAUACAUGAUCCUAUUGCAAGAUUUUACAAUUACAAUGAAAUGGGAUUAUUUUAGUCCAACAAAGACAAACUCUGCUGUGCUGCUAUCUUAAAUAGCAAAAGCAUAUGCCAAGCUCUACGCUACUGUUGCAUCUGCUCUAAUUCCUCUGAUGGAGAUUUUCAGCUGCGGGAUCUACAACAGAGAUUUCUGGAAUUACAAUACUCUCUAGAUGUAGUAAGAAAUCACAUCAGCAAAGCCAGAAUGAUACCAAGGAAUGACCUGCUACAAGAUAAGCCAAAACGAAACAACAGAAUACCCCUGGUAGAUAUAUACAGUUGCCAGCUCAAACUAGUUCAACUCAUCAUUAAUGACUUGCAACCUAUGCUAGACAAUAAUACUGCUCUAUCACAGGCACUGGGAAGCAAACCUUUUCUUGCUCACAGACAGCCCCUCACCUUAAACAACUCCUCAUUCACAACAAUGCGCAUACAACAUGGACAUGAACUCCGAGACCAGGGCCUGCAAUAAAACAAGAUGCCAACUCUAUCCCUAUAUUUACUUCUACAACACAAUCACUGGACCUAACAACACCAGCUAUACCAUCUCAGGCUCAUUCAUUUGUUCAUCUUCCAAAGUUAUAUAUGCUAUCAAAGUCAACAGUGCUCUUCAACUCUCUAUACUGGACAAACAGGUCAAUCUCUUUGCAAAAGAAUAAAUGGACAUAAAUCUGAUAUCAAAAAACACAAUACCAGAACCCAGUGGGAGAACAUUUUAAUCUUCCAGGAUAUUCCAUCACUGACCUAACAAUAGCAGUUGUCAAGCAGAGAAACUUUAAAAGAAACUUACAAUAUGAGAUUGCUAAAAUUGAGUUUAUUUGCAAAUUUGGAACAAUGGACCACUAAGGACAUUGGAUUCUUAUCUCACUACAGAUGCUGAUUUUCUGCUUUUCAUAACUCAACCCCAUCAAGCUAAUUGCAGCAUUAUUGUACCAUACACCCUUACUUUAAAUACCCCUCCCACCUUCUGGCUCAAUAAAACCCUACAUACUUCCACUUCUAAAUGCAUCUGAAGAAGGGAGCUUUGGCUCUCAGAAAUUCAUACCCUGGAAAUUUAGUUGGCCUUUAAAGUGCUACUGGAUCUGAAUCUUGCUCUUCUACUGUAGAUUGAUAUGGCUACUCACCUGAAAUUACCCACAUGAUUGGCACUGUAUAUUUCGAGUGAUGAUGAAUAGUGUUUCUCUCUCUCAGUCUUAUACCAGUCCAUCUUUGACCACUUCCUUUCCCCCUCACAGUAGCAAGGAUUUAAAUUUUAGAAAUGUUAGAACUGCUCCGGGAUGCAUUUGUCACUUCUUCAUCUGCCUCCCAAUGCCAAUGGCACAAUGCGCAACCCUAUCCAUUGUCUUGGGCUAUCAACUUCAUAACUUAUAAUGCAUGAGUAUAUCUGGGUUGGGGACCAUGGGAUGCAGGUUUUACCCAUCACAUUUUAUUAUAAUGUUUACAUCAGCAUUGCUUCUGGCCAACGCUGUGUGAGCUGUUUCCAGUAUAUGGUUAAAAAGAUUUCAUUGGCCUUGCUUGGAAGUAUCAGCAAAAGAUUUUACAAAGUGAUUAAUAUCCU